AGCGAACGCUGGCGGCAGGCCUAACACAUGCAAGUCGAACGGAUCCUUCGGGAUUAGUGGCGGACGGGUGAGUAACACGUGGGAACGUGCCCUUUGGUUCGGAACAACUCAGGGAAACUUGAGCUAAUACCGGAUGAGCCCUUCGGGGGAAAGAUUUAUCGCCAUUGGAGCGGCCCGCGUCUGAUUAGCUAGUUGGUGAGGUAAAGGCUCACUAAGGCGACGAUCAGUAGCUGGUCUGAGAGGAUGAUCAGCCACAUUGGGACUGAGACACGGCCCAAACUCCUACGGGAGGCAGCAGUGGGGAAUCUUGCGCAAUGGGCGAAAGCCUGACGCAGCCAUGCCGCGUGAAUGAUGAAGGUCUUAGGAUUGUAAAAUUCUUUCACCGGGGACGAUAAUGACGGUACCCGGAGAAGAAGCCCCGGCUAACUUCGUGCCAGCCGCCGCGGUAAUAC
rnacentral:rRNA from 1 species